GUAGGUGGCAAGCGUUGUCCGGAAUUAUUGGGCGUAAAGCGCGCGCAGGCGGUUCUUUAAGUCUGAUGUGAAAGCCCACGGCUCAACCGUGGAGGGUCAUUGGAAACUGGAGAACUUGAGUACAGAAGAGGAAAGCGGAAUUCCACGUGUAGCGGUGAAAUGCGUAGAGAUGUGGAGGAACACCAGUGGCGAAGGCGGCUUUUCUGGUCUGUAACUGACGCUGAGGCGCGAAAGCGUGGGGAGCAAACAGGGAUUAGAUACCCUGGUAGUCCACGCCGUAAACGAUGAGUGCUAAGUGUUAGGGGGUUUCCGCCCCCGUUAGUGCUGCAGCUAACGCAUUAAGCACUCCGCCUGGGGAUACGGCCGCAAGGCUG
rnacentral:rRNA from 1 species